rnacentral:rRNA from 1 species
CGCUAGCUACAGGCUUAACACAUGCAAGUCGAGGGGAAACGAUAUUGGAAGCUUGCUUCUGAUAGGCGUCGACCGGCGCACGGGGUGAGUAACGCGUAUCCAACCUGCCCAUCACUUGGGGAUAACCUUGCGAAAGUAAGACUAAUACCCCAAUGACGUCUCUAGAAGACAUCUGAAAGAGAUUAAAGAUUUAUCGGUGAUGGAUGGGGAUGCGUCUGAUUAGCUUGUUGGCGGGGUAACGGCCCACCAAGGCGACGAUCAGUAGGGGGUUCUGAGAGGAAGGUCCCCCACAUUGGAACUGAGACACGGUCCAAACUCCUACGGGAGGCAGCAGUGAGGAAUAUUGGUCAAUGGACGAGAGUCUGAACCAGCCAAGUAGCGUGCAGGAUGACGGCCCUAUGGGUUGUAAACUGCUUUUAUAAGGGAAUAAAGUGAGUCUCGUGAGACUUUUUGCAUGUACCUUAUGAAUAAGGACCGGCUAAUUCCGUG